UACGUAGGAGGCAAGCGUUGUCCGGAAUCACUGGGCGUAAAGCGCGUGUAGGCGGAUCGCUAAGUCUGUGGUGAAAGCGCCUGGCUUAACCGGGCGAGGUCCAUGGAAACUAGCGGUCUGGAGGCCGGUAGAGGGGGGUGGAAUCCGGGUGUAGUGGUGAAAUGCGUAGAGAUCCGGAGGAACACCAGUGGCGAAGGCGGCCCCCUGGGCCGCGCCUGACGCUGAGACGCGAAAGCGCGGGGAGCGAACGGG
rnacentral:rRNA from 1 species